UUAACAUUAAAAGUUUAUACAACUUAAGCUGUAAAACAAACGAUGCAAUAGAUCUGCUAAAAAAUAAUAAGUGCAAGCUAAUUUUUGUAAAUAAAAAAUUAAUGCUGCGAAAUCACACAUAAUACUUCUUUUCUAUUAGUAGGAGUUUGUUUAACUUAAAAUAAUUUACAUAAAUUUACUACCAUAUGUAUACAGAGUUUUACAAAAGUCCGGCCCACUACUAGGUUGCUACAACAUAAACGUUGUUUAAGAUAAAAUUUUAAAUUUUCUUUCUAAGCCGCCCAAGGAAAAGACCAUUUAAAGAUGGUGCUUUAAAGUUGGCAAAAAAAUUGCAUUCGCAGAUUGCAAUCGAUUGCAAUCGCCAUAAGCAGAAAUUUUUAAAUGAUCAGUGGCGUUGAGAAGAGCAGCACAUGUUCUUAUUUUUUGGCUAACUUUUUUGUUAUUGAAAAAUGGAUCACAUAAUUUAAGGGUCUAAUUUAGAAAAAGCAAUAAUUUUUCCUUAAAGAAAGUACGCUUUUAAAAAGUUGCCUAAGCCUGUCUUCGAGAAAAAGCGUUUGAAGAAAAUCUUUCAUGCGUAUGAAAUUCUAAGAGUUGAUCAGAAAAAUAGAUUGGCUAUGAAGACUCUUAAAUUGUUUGUUCUGCCUCUUCAAAAUACAUUUGGUACAAAUUGAAAAGUUAUUUUAAUACAAUUUUUAAUUUACAUAAAAUUUCUUAACAAUAAAGUUUUGCUAAGCUGUCCAAGGUACAAGGAUUCUCAACCAAUCCAUCGCCGGUGAUAGUUUUCGUUCAAAAAUUACCUAGCAGUGCCGCUAAAAUAUUAAAGUGCAUCGUGCUUUAUCCACAUUAGCUGUCUCGCCAUAAGUAAAACAUUUUAAAGUAAAAUGGCCAAGCUUGUUUCUAUAAAAUGUCUAUAUUAUUACGCUUCUACGGUCAACCUUUUAGAUAAAUAAAAAACGGACCAAUUAUCCCUCCCCAAAUAUUAAGAGAGAAGCAUUGCUGAUGUCUGCAUUAAGUAAUGACAUAAGGAUUUUCAACUUGCUGCUGAUGUUAUGAAAAUUAUUAACUUUCGGUUUAUCAGUGAACAGUAUAGAUGAUCGAAAGAUCUAAUUUGCUACACGCUUCUACAAUAGCCAAUUGCAAAAAACUAUUCUUGAAGCAUAAUCCACAAGAAAACAACCUUGAAGUCCUUGAUAAUGAUAAGGAUUAAACUGAUAUACCUUUCAAAUUCGCCAGAUUUUUAUUUAAUUUGUUUCUUUUGCUAAAGUAAUUUGUCCAAUUCUAAUACCAGGUUCUUCUCUAACACACAAAAGCACACGCUGCUUUAAAUCAUCAUCAUCGACGUUUGGUCUUCCACCAUGCGCGUCUUUUUAACUUAAACAUCCUGUUCUACAUAAUCGAGAACGAAUUUUCUAAAACAAUUUUUCUCCCAGCAGACGUCUGUUUGAUGAGGUUGAUAAAUUAGAGUUAAUCGGCAUAAAUUCUCGAGCGCGAUUGCAUUUUGCGAGGCCGUACAUCAAAUGAAUGAGCUUUAUCCUAAUUUGAAUAAUUUAUGUUUAUAUAGUAUUUAAAACCUAUGAACCACUAACACAAUUUACUGAAAACAAAAUAAUAUUUAUCAAAUAAAAAAUCUCGCCAACUCUUAGAAAUUUAGUUUUAGGAAUAGAAAAAAUAUUAAAACUUUGUUUUAGAAAAAGGUUUAUGUUACGCCCCGGAAGAAGUGGCCGUGAGCUUUAUAAUUCCCUGUAUAUUUAAACCUUAUUAUACCUUAAGUAUAUAUGCUGUUGUUAAUUAAGUUCAAAAAUACCCAUUUUAGAAAUUUAGAAAUAUUAGACAGUGUCCAGUAAAUAUAGGGUAUAAUUCUGAGAGUGCACACUGUGUCUCAUUUUUAUUGUUAUUGCAGAGCAUCUCUGUAAUUAUACAUACACAUUUUAAGCUAACUCGUUGUAUCUCUGAGAUACCUAUUUUUUUUUCAUUAAAAUGGUGUGUAAAGCUAAACUCUUUAAUUCGUAAUAAUUGCUUUAAAAAGCUGAAAAUUCUAAUUCAGGUUAAAACUAUUACCGUACAUGAAACGAAAAGAUAAAAAAAAAUUAAACGAAAAUGAAACAUUUUCUUAAAUUAAAAACUAUAAUAAAAAUUUAAUUAUUAUUUGUUUUUCUAGUAUACUAAAGCAAAUAAAAUUCAGCAACUAAAAGCAAAUAAAAUAAAGCAAAAAUUAACUCGGAGAUAAAAUUUAUCGUGCUUUCAUUUUAACACGAACCACCGGGACGUUUAAUUUUAUAUGUGACAAAGUUCUGUCAUUUACCUCCUCAUAUCCAGCUAACCUCAUCUUGAUAUGUCAAGUGGCAAUCAUAAUCGUGUAACAUUAUUCUAAGCAGCAUUAAAAUAACUAUUCAACAGUGCCAAGAAAAAUUAAAUAGGUGGACGUACCAGCGCAUAGUGACCAAAAAUGACUAGAAAUAAUGGAUAUUUUAUCGACCUUAAACUUUUGUAUUUCAAAUGGCUACCCUAAGUAUGAUACAUCAUUUUAAAGGGCAUAUAUUCUUCUAUCUAACUAAAAACUAAAAACAAACAAAAUCGGUUGACGUAUAAGCGAAUAGUAAACAGAAUUGUGUGGUAAUAAAAGACAUUUUAUCAACGUAAACUUUGAGAGGUCAAAUGGUUGCCUCAUAGUGUCACAUGUAAUUUUAAUUGGCAAACAAUUUUCUAUCUUACUUUGCCAAAAAAAUUAAUGCAAGUUGAAGGGAUUUACCAAUAAAAAUGUAUGGUAAUAAACGUCGUUAAGUCCAAAUAUUUUUUUUAUAAUUAUAGUUUAUACAGGGUGUCCCAAAAGUAUGGACACACCCAAAAAUCUUGGGAAAUGUGGGCGCUAGAAAAAAUCUUUAAAUACAAAAGUUUUGGGGAAUCAAUCGGUGCAUCUGAUGGUGACCUUAAACUUGACCUUGAGCUUGACCUUCAAGGUUAUUUGAAUGUCAAAGCGAUUUUUCUAAAUGGGAACCCCUAUUUUUGACACCGGAUUCUGAAAGAGCGGAAAAUUUUACGUCCGGGUAUGUAUUGAGGUAUGAGGUUAAAGUAAUCCCGAGAGGUCAAAUAAUGACUUCUUAAAAAUCUCGCGAGUUCAAUGGUAAAAGAAAACAAAUAAAGGUCAUACCCUAGGUAAGUCUUAACGAGGAACCCAACGGUGACCUUGAAUUUGACGUUAAACCUCAUUUUCAAGCUCAAGGUCAAGUUUAAAGUCACCAUCAGAUGCACCGAUUGAUUCCCCAAAACUUUUGUAUUUAAAAAAUUUUUCUAGCGCCCAUAUUUCCCAAGAUUUUUGGGUGUGUCCAUACUUUUGGGACACCCCGUAUAUAUAAAUUCAAUAUAAUUGAAUGACUCGCACGGUCGCCAGACUUAACACGGCUAGAUUUUUCUUUUGAGGGUAUUUAAAAAGAACAUUUUAUAAAACCCCACCUGGAAAUAUUAAUGUUUUAAAGGAUCGAAUUACUCGCGAAUGUAGAGAUAUUAGCGGAAAAACACUUGGCAAUGUUCGUGAGGAAUUGCAAAUGUCUCGCGAAUAUUGUAGCACAUCUAAUAAAUAAAACAAAUCUGUGAAGUGAAUAAAUUGUUUAUUUUUUAAACACGUUUUUACAUCCUUGCUGUUUAUAAGUCCUUAUAACCCUUAAUUUUUAUACACCGUUGGGCGAAAGAUUGUAGGUACAAUCUUUAAAAUGAUGUAUCACAAUAUAGGAUCACCAUUUGACAUAUCAAAGCCUGACAUAAAUAAUGUAAUAUGACCACAUUAGGCCUAUGUAGCAGUGGGAUUUUCUACCAUAACAUAAGGUAUCACACAUUAAACACUGGCAUUGGUACAGAGAAAAUCCGCACGAGAAAUAUUUAAAAAUUUUUCAACAGAUUUUAAUGGAAUCAUUUCUAUAUUAUGUAUACUUUUAACAAGUCUGCCCACAAUGCUCAAAGAAGUUCAUUUUUAUUUGAAAGAAUAUAUAACUAAGGAUUCAUUUUUUUUUUUAAAUAAGGAAUGUUUGUAUUUAGUUCAAAUGCUCUACGUAGGAUAACUUUGUGUUUUUUUUUAACAAUUUGUAAUUUUUUUAGUAUUUUAUUUAUUUGCAAUUUUAAACAGAAAACUUUCUUAUUAAUGGGUUUACGAACAAAAUUGAUUUUCCAUAGAAACCUCUGCUUGUGCUUAAAAGAUACAAAAGAUAACAGCAAAAUACUUUUAUGUUUAAUGAUUCUAUGAAAAAUAAUUGAUACAAUUUUAGGAUUUCAUAAGGUGACACUUGCUGACGAAAUGUUAGGAAGAAGUGUAAGAGUAAGUCAAAAUGUAAAGUCUGAUUUAAAAAAAAUUCGGGCGAUUUACUCCAAAUAACAAUUCUUUCACAAAAAAUAAAUUAUUUUCCAAUGUUGAGAAGAAAGCAUUUUAAAUAAUAAAACUGCCUGCAUUCUGUCCGAUAUUUUUCGAAAACAUCGCCAAUGAUCAGAGUAUCCCAAAUUUGAAAAGGUAUUUUUAGCUAAUUUUUUAAUAAACCUAAAUUUAUCCGUACUUAUCCAAUUUAAUUUGUGUUUGGGGGUUUGUCCAAGUAUCCGCGAAUCCCCCUUUCCGAAUUCCUUGCAGAAGUCGGUACUCCAAGAAAGUAAACUGUUGGAAACUGUUGUGUGGAAUUACGUAUAAUGGAUUAAUCAAAUCCCACUUAUUUAAUAAAGUAUUAGUAGUAAUAAUGGUGGAAGACGUGAAUAAGUGUCCGGCGGAUAGGCCUAAAACCACUGAAACCAGGUCACCCGCUCUAGUCUCCCCAAGCCGGUGACUUGUCCUUCUAAUAAAGGGUGAUUCUAGCUUUACUUGAAUUUAAUAGCCGCUCUUAGGCCUGUCGGCAAACGCUGUUCCCACUUCAAUUUUUUUAGUCUUUCCAUGCCCAGUUGUAUAGGAUAUGGUAAAUAUGAUUUUCUUACUUAGUCCAAGAUAGGGUAGCCAAAUCGCCCGCUCAUUGCCCUCCACUCCGCUGUGUCCCGAAAUCCAAUACAUUCGGACUGUUACUCCCCUACCCAACCUAUCCAGUGCAUUCCUGCAUUGUUAAUUACUUUUAAGGCUGUUGGAAUGAAUAAUUAUGGUAAUUUAUGGAGUUUAUUUGAUUUGCUGCAGCCAGAAUAGCGAAAACUUUUGCUUAAAAGUCUUAUCUCUUAAGCGAUAUCUCUUAAGCGCAUUUCUCAAGCAAGAAAGCUUGUCCUCGAUAGGUGUUUUCAAUUUCAGCUCCUGGUAGCCCUAUGUGAGCCAUUUUUGAACCGUCUGUGCGACCAUCAGUUCAUUCAUCCCUCCUUUCUAUAUUAGUCAUAUAGUGUCAAUAUUGCCUCUUAGCCAUAUAUAUAGUCCUCUGGUUUAGCAUUGGGAGGUAGCAGAAUUGGCAAUUCUUUCUUUCCUAGUUUAGUGAUGUAUAUCUGCCCUGCUAUCGUUGGAGUUCCGAUAUGCGUUGAAGUUCCGGCAAACUUAGAAGCAUGUUAAACGAUGCACCUGUGUGGUUUUUAUCGUACCUACAAUGCCCAGAGAGACCAGCCUUUGCUGUUUAUAAAGGUUUCUGGUGGCCUGCAAGAUUCUUCCUUUUCGUAAAUAUGACCUUGGUUUAAUUAGGAUUGACAAAGAUGCUCGUUUUCAUGCACCACUUUUUAUGAUCCCGCAUCCGCUCUGCAUGCGAUCAACACUACCUUAAGGGAUCUACCUAUAACCAGCUCAUCUUCUAUAUAAGUCAGUGCGUAGAACACUUCUUGCUCUUAACUGCCUUAGGAGACCGUCUGAUGACCAACCCCCAGAUCUUUGCCGAUAGGAAACUCUUUUGUGAUCAGUCACCAUUCACCCUAAUCCUUGUCCAGUGCUCUACCAAAGCUAAGCUUAUAGUUUUUUCUCGCAGCGUUGAUCUUUUUUAAACGACCAAUGAAGCCGGUGCGUUCUUGGCCUCACAAACCUCGUUGGUUUUCGGCGUAGCGAAAUAACCCAACCCAACCCAACCCAACCCAACCCAACUUUUUCAUAGUUGAUGACCCUCUCUGCUUUUUCAACUACAGUGUAGAGCAACUUCAGUUAAACAAAGUAUAUAAUUUGAAAGUGUUUCUGAUUAAUCCCCAAACAAAUACUACGUUUUUAAACAUCAUCACCUAGUUUAAAUAAGUUUAGUAUUAAAUGUUAUAAUUUUUAUUUGCUUCAAAAAUUAGUUAGAAAUGUGAUUUAUCAAGCUUCUCAGUUUAAAAUGCUUAUGAUGUUUUCAGAAAUGUUUAAUACAAUUCAACACAUUAGCAGCCAUAACAAAAUCUUCUUCAU